AAUAAGUGCAGUUUUGUACUAUUCACGUUCAAUGUUUGACCGUUCGUCUUAUUUAAAACUUUUUUUAUGAUUAGUAUUUUUAUUGCUAUUAGAUGAUAAAACAUGAAUAAUACUUUACGUGUGACUAAAUAUUUUCAAAUUUUUCACAAAAUUAUCAAAUAAGAUAGACGUACGGUCAAACGUUGGAGACGGAUAUCUACGGCUGUACUUAUU
rfam:Oryza barthii chromosome 3, whole genome shotgun sequence.